rnacentral:rRNA from 1 species
ACAUACGGCCAUAGGAAAUUGAAAGCAGAAUUCCCCGUUCGAUCAAUUGUACUUAAGCAGUUUACCGGCGGAUUAGUAGUCAGGUGGGUGACCACUGGCGAAUCCCCGCUGUCGUAUGUA